rnacentral:rRNA from 1 species
AGAGUUUGAUCCUGGCUCAGGACGAACGCUGGCGGCGUGCCUAACACAUGCAAGUCGAACGAUGAAUCCAGCACUCAACUGCCUUCAGAAAGACAGAACGAAGCAAGAACUUUCUGGUAGCAGUUGAGCGCUGGAGGAUUAGUGGCGGAUGGGUGAGUAACGCGUGAGCAACCUGCCCUGUACUGUGGGAUAGCCAAGGGAAACCUUGAUUAAUACCGCAUAAUCCCUUUUAACCGCAUGGAAAAGAGGGCAAAGAACUUCGGUACAGGAUGGGCUCGCGUCUGAUUAGCUAGUUGGUGUGAUAAAAGCGCACCAAGGCUGCGAUCAGUAACCGGCUUGAGAGAGUGAACGGUCACACUGGAACUGAGACACGGUCCAGACUCCUACGGGAGGCAGCAGUGGGGAAUAUUGCACAAUGGAGGAAACUCUGAUGCAGCGACGUCGCGUGAGCGAAGAAGGAAUUCGUUUCGUAAAGCUCUGUCCUAUGGGAAGAUAAUGACGGUACCAUAGGAGGAAGCCCCGGCUAACUACGUGCCAGCAGCCGCGGUAAUACGUAGGGGGCGAGCGUUGUCCGGAAUUAUUGGGCGUAAAGGGUACGUAGGCGGUUUUUUAAGUCUGGUGUGAAAUUGGUGGGCUCAACCCACCCAAGCAUUGGAAACUGGAAAACUUGAGUCAUGGAGAGGAAAGUGGAAUUCCUAGUGUAGCGGUGAAAUGCGUAGAUAUUAGGAGGAAUACCGGUGGCGAAGGCGACUUUCUGGACAUGUACUGACGCUGAGGUACGAAAGCGUGGGGAGCAAACAGGAUUAGAUACCCUGGUAGUCCACGCCGUAAACGAUGAGUGCUAGGUGUUGGGGGUCAAACCUCGGUGCCGCAGUUAACACAUUAAGCACUCCGCCUGGGGAGUACGUGCGCAAGCAUGAAACUCAA